UACGGAGGGGGCUAGCGUUGUUCGGAAUUACUGGGCGUAAAGCGCACGUAGGCGGCUAUUCAAGUCAGAGGUGAAAGCCUGGAGCUCAACUCCAGAACUGCCUUUGAAACUAGAUAGCUAGAAUCAUGGAGAGGUGAGUGGAAUUCCGAGUGUAGAGGUGAAAUUCGUAGAUAUUCGGAAGAACACCAGUGGCGAAGGCGGCCCGCUGGGCAGUGGCUGACGCUGAGGCGCGACAGCGUGGGGAGCAAACAGG
rnacentral:rRNA from 1 species